rnacentral:rRNA from 1 species
CAGUCGCCGCGGUAAUACAGAGGGUGCGAGCGUUAAUCGGAUUUACUGGGCGUAAAGCGUGCGUAGGCGGCUAAUUGAGUCGGAUGUGAAAUCCCCGAGCUUAACUUGGGAAUUGCAUUCGAUACUGGUUAGCUAGAGUGUGGGAGAGGAUGGUAGAAUUCCAGGUGUAGCGGUGAAAUGCGUAGAGAUCUGGAGGAAUACCGAUGGCGAAGGCAGCCAUCUGGCCUAACACUGACGCUGAGGUACGAAAGCAUGGGGAGCAAACAGGAUUAGAGACCCCAGUAGUCCCUGUCUCUUAUCC